AACUAACGAUCUAUGGGUUUAAAGACAGUGUGAAUGUUAUA
rnacentral:guide_RNA from 1 species